AUGGAUUUAAAUUUGUAGCUUCAAGCUACUAGCCAGGCCUUAAAUGUUACUUGCCCCUGUAAGUCAUAGCAUGCCCUCCAAGGGUGAAAUUCUACUCACCAAUAGCUGGUGGAGCCAUGACAUGGAGCUAUAAUAUAGAAUAUAAAAAAUAUACAGUUUCCAUUUUAUUAUUAUUCCUCUGAGGCCUUAUUCUCCUGGUUGUGAUAUUGGCUGCCCUCAC